rnacentral:rRNA from 1 species
UACGUAGGGGGCAAGCGUUGUCCGGAAUUAUUGGGCGUAAAGCGCGCGCAGGCGGUUCUUUUAAGUCUGGUGUCUAAGUGCGGGGCUCAACCCCGUGAUGCACUGGAAACUGGGGAACUUGAGUGUAGGAGAGGAAAGUGGAAUUCCACGUGUAGCGGUGAAAUGCGUAGAGAUGUGGAGGAACACCAGUGGCGAAAGGCGACUUUCUGGCCUAUAACUGACGCUGAGGCGCGAAAGCGUGGGGAGCAAACAGGA